rnacentral:rRNA from 1 species
GCUAGUUGGUGAGGUAACGGCUCACCAAGGCAAUGAUACGUAGCCGAACUGAGAGGUUGAUCGGCCACAUUGGGACUGAGACACGGCCCAAACUCCUACGGGAGGCAGCAGUAGGGAAUCUUCCACAAUGGACGCAAGUCUGAUGGAGCAACGCCGCGUGAGUGAAGAAGGCUUUCGGGUCGUAAAACUCUGUUGUUGGAGAAGAAUGGUCGGCAGAGUAACUGUUGUCGGCGUGACGGUAUCCAACCAGAAAGCCACGGCUAACUACGUGCCAGCAGCCGCGGUAAUACGUAGGUGGCAAGCGUUAUCCGGAUUUAUUGGGCGUAAAGCGAGCGCAGGCGGUUUUUUAAGUCUGAUGUGAAAGCCCUCGGCUUAACCGAGGAAGUGCAUCGGAAACUGGGAAACUUGAGUGCAGAAGAGGACAGUGGAACUCCAUGUGUAGCGGUGAAAUGCGUAGAUAUAUGGAAGAACACCAGUGGCGAAGCGGCUGUCUGGUCUGUAACUGACGCUGAGGCUCGAAAGCAUGGGUAGCGRACAGGAUUAGAUACCCUGGUAGUCCAUGCCGUAAACGAUGAAUGCUAGGGUGUUGGAGGGUUUCCGCCCUUCAGUGCCGCAGCUAACGCAUUAAGCAUUCCGCCUGGGGAGUACGACCGCAAGGUUGAAACUCAAAGGAAUUGACGGGGGCCCGCACAAGCGGUGGAGCAUGUGGUUUAAUUCGAAGCAACGCGAAGAACCUUACCAGGUCUUGACAUCUUUUGAUCACCUGAGAGAUCAGGUUUCCCCUUCGGGGGCAAAAUGACAGGUGGUGCAUGGUUGUCGUCAGCUCGUGUCGUGAGAUGUUGGGUUAAGUCCCGCAACGAGCGCAACCCUUAUGACUAGUUGCCAGCAUUUAGUUGGGCACUC